ensembl:lncRNA
GUGAGUGUGGGGUUUUUCCACUCUGCUGGGCUCCACCUUCAGGCAGAGACUCCAAUCAGCUUUCACACCUGAUUCCAAUCAAGUCACCAGUAUAUAAGACCAGCACUCACAACAGACCUCUGCCAGAUCUACUGCUAACUCACGACCCACCUGGCUGUCACGCUUCACAAGCUGGAAAACACACAUCUCCGUCUGGACGCUGGUUCUCUGUCAUCGGGUUGCUUCCUUAUCAUCUUAAGACUCCACCUGCCUGCCUCCCUGCCAGGUCCUUCACUCCAAGUAUAUUCUGGACCUUCUCCCUUGGACACCCCUUCCUGGCAUGACACUUUCACCUGCAACGCUGACUGUGUACCUCCACCCAAGCUGCUGCCCCUUUUCCCAUUCCCAGGAUCCGUCUAUGAAAUCUUGCACCUAGCCAUAGCACUCAGUCAGAGUUUCAUGUUCAUAGUUUGGCCUCAUAGUUCUCAGUUCAUAGCUUCCACAGUUCAUAGCAUUCAUAGUUUCCUGCUUUGUAAUUUAACUAAGCACUGUGUUCACGCCCGUUUUUCC